GCCAGCUCGCCCUGAUCUCGAAGCAGCGGUUUCCUAAACCGUGUGUCGCAGGUUCGAUUCCUGCCGGGGGCACCA
rnacentral:tRNA from 1 species